GAAGAUGUCUAUUCCAACGAAAUGACACUUAGCAUGACCAUGCUUUCCAGUCUUGGAGGUGGAAACAUCAACAACCUAUCACAAAACAAUAACACAACAAUGUCGCUACAUGUCUCCUCAUACAUAUAGGCAGUCAACUCUAUCUAUAUACAGAACUUCUCUAACCUAUCACAAACCACAAGUCAAGAACAGAAUAUUAAAAAUUGAGCUUAAAUUACACAGAAAGUACAG
rnacentral:misc_RNA from 1 species